rnacentral:rRNA from 1 species
UACGUAGGGUGCAAGCGUUAAUCGGAAUUACUGGGCGUAAAGCGUGCGCAGGCGGCUUUGCAAGACAGAUGUGAAAUCCCCGGGCUCAACCUGGGAACUGCAUUUGUGACUGCAAGGCUAGAGUACGGUAGAGGGGGAUGGAAUUCCGCGUGUAGCAGUGAAAUGCGUAGAUAUCAGGAAGAACACCCGUGGCGAAAGCGGCUCUCUGGAACGGUACUGACGCUGAGACGCGAAAGCGUGGGGAGCGAACAGG